AGUGAACGUUGGCGGUAGGCCUAACACAUGCAAGUCGAACGGCAGCACAGUAAGAGCUUGCUCUUACGGUUGGCGAGUGGCGGACGGGUGAGGCAUACAUCGGAAUCUACUUUUUCGUGGGGGAUAACGUAGGGAAACUUACGCUAAUACCUCAUACGACCUACGGGUGAAAGCAGGGGAUCUUCGGACCUUGCGCGAUUGAAUUAGCCGAUGUCGGAUUAGCUAGUUGGCGGGGUAAAGGCCCACCAAGGCGACGAUCCGUAGCUGGUCUGAGAGGAUGAUCAGCCACACUGGAACUGAGACACGGUCCAGACUCCUACGGGAGGCAGCAGUGGGGAAUAUUGGACAAUGGGCGCAAGCCUGAUCCAGCCAUACCGCGUGGGUGAAGAAGGCCUUCGGGUUGUAAAGCCCUUUUGUUGGGAAAGAAAAGCAGCAGGUUAAUACCCCGCUGUUCUGACGGUACCCAAAGAAUAAGCACCGGCUAACUUCGUG
rnacentral:rRNA from 1 species